rnacentral:tRNA from 1 species
GCCGGGAUGGCGAAAUGGUAGACGCACUAGCUUUAGGAGCUAGCGAGCGAAAGCUCAUGGAGGUUCAAGUCCUCUUCCCGGCA